ensembl:lincRNA Rmst rhabdomyosarcoma 2 associated transcript (non-coding RNA)
GCUUGUGGUUGCUAUGGCCGGGCUGACCUCAAUCUCUGUGGUUUGAGGGACUUAAGCAGUCAUUUUUUUUCUUUUCUUUUCUUUCUUUCCUUUUUUUUUUUUUUUUAAUUGAAGAGCAUGUACCUUGAUUUAUGUCCAAAACUGUAGCUGAAUGUCUUUGUCCGCGGGUGAUAUAUGGUGCAGAACAAUUCAUCUGUUCUUACGAGUAAACACCGCUGUCCCACUAAAAAUAUGUUUUGUUCGGAGUUAAUGGUAUGGAACAGGGCAUUCUCCACAAACAGCUAUCUUUUAUUGUGUUGGGGCCGCGGAAACGCUGAGCAAAGUGUAGGAAAUUGGCAUCAGUCCUCGCGUCUAUUAGCAUUUCAUUUGUGAGUCGCCUGAUAAGACGCAUGGACUAUCCUCAGGAAAAUGAGAUCCAGGAAGAGUGACGCCCUCCUCGAACUGAAAGAUACUCAGGCUGAUGGAGUCAGGGACGAAGUGGCUUAUCAACAACACAGGAUGUCUGCAGGGAACAGAACUUAUUCAGACAUGGCCCAGAUUGUCUGCCCGUGGGGACUGAGGGACCUCUGAGGGUUACAUCAGGAAGGAAGGAGAGGCUGUUUCUACAGGUGCCACAGAAAAAUCGAUGCUGAGCCUCGGAUUAUUGGAUCCCAUAGAACCGUGGAGACUUGGCAGUGAAAUUCUUCCAAAGCAUUCCAUCUGCGCAGGCAGGCAGAGGUGUUCCUGGUUUGGGAAGUAUAAAUCCCGUGGGAAGUCAACUGGAGGACAUUUUACGCGU